rnacentral:rRNA from 1 species
UACGUAGGGGGCUAGCGUUGAUCGGAAUCACUGGGCGUAAAGCGCACGUAGGCGGAUUGCUAAGUCAGGGGUGAAAUCCUGGAGCUCAACUCCAGAACUGCCUUUGAUACUGGCGACCUUGAGUCCGGGAGAGGUGAGUGGAACUGCGAGUGUAGAGGUGAAAUUCGUAGAUAUUCGCAAGAACACCAGUGGCGAAGGCGGCUCACUGGCCCGGUACUGACGCUGAGGUGCGAAAGCGUGGGGAGCAAACAGG